UACAGAGGGUGCGAGCGUUGUCCGGAAUCACUGGGCGUAAAGGGCGCGUAGGCGGUCGCGUAAGCGUGUGGUGAAAGCCCGGGGCUCAACCCCGGGUCGGCCAUGCGAACUGCGGGACUGGAGCAGAUCGGAGGCAGGCGGAAUUCCGGGUGUAGCGGUGGAAUGCGUAGAGAUCCGGAAGAACACCGGUGGCGAAGGCGGCCUGCUGGGAUCUUGCUGACGCUGAAGCGCGACAGCGUGGGGAGCAAACAGG
rnacentral:rRNA from 1 species